rfam:Oryza glaberrima chromosome 3 Oglab03_0194_1, whole genome shotgun sequence.
AAAAAGUGCAGCUGUGCGUUUCCGCAUCCAACGUUUGACCGUCCUUCUUAUUUAGAAAAAGAAUUAUGAUUAAUAUUUUUGUUCUCAUUACACAAUAGAACAUGAAUAGUACUUUGAGUGUGACUAAUUUUAUUUAUUUAUUUCAUAAUUUUUAAAUAAGACAAACGAGUAAACUUUGGACACGAAAAACCACAAUUGCACUUAUA